AAUAAAAGGAGAGCGCCGUGGGGUGGAGAAGGGACUGCCGGUCUUCUGGCGGAGGAAUUCUCUUCUCGUGCUCUUUCUCUUUGCAGCCUUCCAUCCCCCAAACCCACUGAACAUGGCCUUGGAACCCACAUAGCAUUCCAGUUCCAGGCCCCAAGACUUCCCACUGCUCACAUCCACCUUCUCCACCCAGCAUCAAACAGCUGAAAAGCCGCUCAGACCUCGAAACUUACUCUAACCUAGAAGAUGUCUAGAAGCCAGACGGGGUCCAGGAGCAGGCCUCUACCUACAUUUAUGUGGGUAAAUGAAGUCACAGCACAAAUUACCUACCCUACAUGGAAGAUAGAUCCUCCUGCGCCACCUCCUGCUUCUCUGCUGAGCCUGAGACGUGGACCCCUGCCUGGAUGUGGGGCUGGGGACGUGGCUCCUCCCUGUCUCACAGGCCCACCUCUUGUCCCUACACAGACAUUGAAUCCAGUGGCGCCCCCUGCUGCUACCUCCCUAAGAGAAAGUGGCACAAGGAGCCUUGGCGCUGGCCAGGUGCCUACUGCUGCCAAGAGCCCUCGAUCUCUGCCAGACAUGGGCACCCCCCACUCUCCAUCCCCAGGCCUCCCACCACUAGGUGGGCCAUUGGUACCGCGCCCUCAGCCACUGGCCUCUACAUUUCCCUCCCACCGAGGCACUGUCCCAGCCCGAGGGCUUUCCUACUUUUAUGAUUUGUCCACGAAGGUGACAUCCUUCAGCCCCCAGACAGCCGUCUUCCAAGCUGUUUACAGGACCUUGCACAGGGUCUUCAGGGGCUUCCAGCCUGUCACAAAUCAUGACCUGGUUUGACCUUUAAAAUGUCUCAAAAUCUAAUACUGAAGCCUUU